rnacentral:tRNA from 1 species
GUGGGAUUAGCGUAGUUGGUUAACGCGCAGUUUGUGGCACUGGAGACCGCCGGUUCGAAUCCGGCAUUCCACCCCA